rnacentral:lncRNA from 1 species
GUUCGACCGUCAACUGCAUAAUCUCGCAUCUGGCCAAGAGUUGGCAAAGUCUACACAAAAAACCAAAACACAUUAGAUGGACAGGUGCCGUCCAUACCUUUGGGAGCUCAUCUCUACAAGUUUGGGUUCUCGGUAUCAACCACUAAAAAGAAGAAAAAAAAACGCCUCCAUUAUGGGUGUGACAGAUUAUUUGCCGUCAAUAUCGAAUAUGUUCAACAGUAAUUCAAAAGAAAAAAAUUCCACCUAUGGCUUCAUUCAAAUCAUUUCCAAUCCAGCAGGAGCGACCAUAACUUCUGGAGCUGUAGUGGGCAUUUUUGUGUCUGGCAUUGCCACUGGUUUGGCUAUUGCAGCAGUCGUUGGAUUGGGUGCCACAACAUACAUUUGUUACAAUCAAAUGAAUACAAUGAAGACCCAAAUUACAGAAACUGCACACCGAGAACACCAUAAGCAACCGACCGGCUGCGUCAAUUGACUGAAGAUUCAUGUCUUUAGUUUAUCCUUCUUAGCCACUUUACCACUUUCAUUAGCCUACUGGUAAAAUACACAUGUUUCUAUGGCA